rnacentral:rRNA from 1 species
UGACCUCAAAUCAGCUGGGACUACCCGCUGAACUUAAGCAUAUCACUAAGCGGAGGA